CUCAGUGGAAGAGAGAGUUGACACUACCAACCAGCCCCCACCUCUCCAGCUUCCCACCUCUCCGCCUCUCAGCCAUUGUUAAAAAAGGAGCACCUUGGAGGCCUUGUGGCUUUCUCCCCAGAGGGCUCUACGGUUUCUCACCAAAACAAAGGAAACAAGGAAGGAUAGUUUCUCUUGUUUCCAGGAUUUCUUCCUUCUUUUUCAUCCAGCAGAAAGAGAGAGAUCACAAGCAGGCAGAGGCAGGCAGAGAGAGAGAGGAGGAAGCAGGCUCCCUGCUGAGCAGACCCUGAGAUCAAGACGUGAGCCAAAGGCAGCGGCCUAACCCAC
rnacentral:lncRNA from 1 species